GCAAUUACCGGCUGCCACUGAGGGUUAAGAGGUCGGGCGUUGUUUUGACGCGAUAGAAGGGUGUGGUCUGAAUUUCAUAGAGGUUUGCCGUUGUUUUGACGCGAUAGAUGGGAGUGGAGUUAGCUCUUUCCAAUCUUCGAUCUGUCGAUAAAAGGUGAUCUGCGACAACUAAACCAAUCGUGCUUGGGUCUUGAAGAUAAUCGUGCUAGACCAACCAGAAUUGAUAGAAGGGAGAAAAGCCAAACCAUUCCAAUCUUGGAUCUAUGGGUGACAGGUAAUGAUGAAUCUUUCUCUUUCUUUUUGAUCUGGAGUUUGAUAUCGGAGGUUCGAUAAUUUUGUAAAUGUAAGGAAUUAUAUUGCUAUCAAAGAUUUGAUAGAGAAUUUGGAUAGAACAGUGGAAUUAAUUGAUUUUGUAAAUGU